rnacentral:rRNA from 1 species
GGUUGAUCCUGCCAGUAGCAUANGCUUGUCUCAAAGAUUAAGCCAUGCAUGUUUAUGUUCAGUACAGAACAGCGAAACCGCGAAUGGCUCAUUAAAUCAGUCUUGGUUUAUUCGAUACAAACCUUACUUGGAUAACUGUGGUAACCUAAGCUAAUACAUGCCAUAAGGGUACAUCAUUGCCCGGCUUUUAUUAGGCAUAACUGAAGCGGCGUCUCGCCGAACAGGUUGACUCCAAAUAACUGCAAGACCGCGAAGGCCUUCGUGCCAGCGGCAAAUCGUUCAAGUGUCUGCCCUAUCAACUUUGGACGGUAGUGUACCGGACUACCGUGGUUGUAACGGGUAACGGGGAAUCAGGGUUCGAUUCCGGAGAGGGAGCCUGAGAAACGGCUACCACAUCUAAGGAAGGCAGCAGGCGCGCAAAUUACCCAAUCCCCGAUCGGGGAGGUAGUGACGAAAAAUAACAAUUCGGGACUUACGUUCCGUAAUUGGAAUGGGCACAACCCAAACAAUUGUGCGAGUAACAAGUUGUGGGCAAGCCUGGUGCCAGCAGCCGCGGUAAUUCCAGCGCAACUAGCGUAUGUGCGUGUUGCGGUUAAAAAGCUCGUAGUUGGAUCUGUGUGCAAGUUCUAUCGGCUAAUUUUAGUCGAGGGAAUCCUUGUACUCUUUUCUGCGCCGUUCCGGUGACCUUCAACAGUCGUCGGUUACGGCGUAGGCAAUUUUACUUUGAAAAAAUUAGAGUGUUUAAAGCGGGCGCAUGCCUGAAUAACUGAGCAUGGGAUAAUGGAAUAAGACCCGAUCACUUGUUCUUUGGUUCUUUGAUCGGUAAUGAUUAAUAGGGACAAGCGGGGGCAUUUGUAUUGCGACGUUAGAGGUGAAAUUCUUGGAUCGUCGCAAGACAAACUACAGCGAAAGCAUUUGCCAAGAAUGUUUUCAUUAAUCAAGAACGAAAGUUAGAGGAUUGAAGAGGAUCAGAUACCCUCGUAGUUCUAACCAUAAACGAUGCCAACUUGCGAUCCGCUGAAGUUAAUGUAUGACUUGCGGGCAGCUUCCGGUAAACCAAAGUUUGGUUCCGGGGGAAGUAUGGUUGCAAAGCUGAAACUUAAAGGAAUUGACGGAAGGGCACCACCAGGAGUGGAGCCUGCGGCUUAAUUUGACUCAACACGGGAAAACUCACCAGGUCCAGACAUUGUAAGGAUUGACAGACUGAAGUUCUUUCUCGAUUCUAUGGAUGGUGGUGCAUGGCCGUUCUUAGUUGGUGGAGUGAUUUGUCUGGUUAAUUCCGAUAACGAACGAGACCCCAACCUGCUAAAUAGUGGCUCCCUACGCGUAGGGAGAUUCGCUUCUUAGAGGGACUAGUGGCUCUUUAACCCCGUGAAGUGGGGUCAUAACAGGUCUGUGAUGCCCUUAGAUGUUCUGGGCUGCACGCGCGCUACACUGGUCGCCAUAAAAUGCUAUACCUGCGCGCUAUGCGCGUGGGCAAUCACCUAAUGGCAACCGUGAUUGGGAUAGAUUAUUGCAACUAUUGAUCUUGAACGAGGAAUUCCUAGUAAGCACGAGUCAUUAGCUCGUGUUGAUUACGUCCCUGCCCUUUGUACACACCGCCCGUCGCUACUACCGAUUGGACGCUGAAGCGAGUUCUAUGGAGGGUUCGAACAACCGCUUCGCGGAUGUUUGAGCACGAAAUAGCUCAAGCUUCGACGUCUAGAGGAAGUAAAAGUCGUAACAAG